ACAGCCUGAGAACAUGUACCUGUUCUAUCCAGUUGCAUGAUUUCUGCUGGCAGAGAAAUAUGCAUUUAGAACAAGAGAGACAGAGGGAGAAUAAAGAAGAGAGUGACAGGCCAGCUAUGCACAGAAGCAGAAAACAAUCCAAAGGAAGACUAGUGAAUAAGCCAAAAUUCUGAUAUUUGCGGAAAUAACCAUGAGUGUGUCUGCAUUUAAAAAAUAAGGGUAGUUUGGUACCAUUAUAAUUCUCAUAGCUUCCAACUUCAAAAUCCUGAUAUUUGCAGUUCUGUAUGAGACUCUGGUUUUGUUGCCCAAAAGCUCUAGAUUUCUUUACAAAAGAAUUCAAAUUACUGAAAUCCAGGUACACUACAUCUACGGCGUUCCCUUUAUCGACCCAACUCGUAACUCUGUCGGAAAAAAAAAUCAGAUUAGUCUGGCAUGACUUGUUUUUGGUGAAUCCGUGUUGACUAUUAGCAAUGACUGCAUUUGUUUCUAAGUAUUUGCAGACCACUUCCUUAAUGAUCUUUUCCAGAAUCUUGCCUGGUAUCGACGUGAGGCUGACUGGACGAUAAUUGUUUGGGUCAUUCUUUUUUCCCUUCUUCUUUUUUUAAAAAUAGUUUUUAUUAGAUUUCCAAAUAAAACUUACAGUGAACGUGUGAGAACAAAUGAGGUUUUUAGAAAAGAAGGUGAAGAAAAUAGACAGGAAGAGAAAAAACAAGACAGAAAGGAAAAAAGUGGGUACUCAAACCCCAUACCAGGUAGGGAGAAGAAAAAUAUAUAAUAAUGAUGAUGAUAAUAAAUAGGAAAAGAAAAAAAUAAUAAAAAUAAAAAUAAAAAGGUUGACUUCCAUCUCUUACACAGAUACUUUAAAAAGUAUUUCUUUUUUCUCUUGUUUCUUUGUUUUUCUUUCCCCCCCCCCCCCUCUUUGGUGUUAGCAUCUUCUUUACCUUCAGUCUAUAUCAACAAACCAUCUAUUUAGGUUAAAUUAGCACCUUCAUUUGCAUUUCUACCAAAUAAUUUUUUAUCAGGUCCCAGUUUGUUUGCUUUUUUGGAAUACCAUAAUUUUUAGUAGAUACGUCAAUUUAUCCAUAUUCGUUAUUUCCAAAACCUUAUUUAACCAGCAGCUUAACUAAGGGAUUUCUUUCUUUUUCCAAUAUUUGGCAUAUAUUAUUCUUGCUGUCGUAGUGAGAUAGUUAAAAAGAAUUUCUUUAUUUUUAUCAUUUUCAAUAUUAAGCAUCCCCAGAAGAAAAUAUUUUGGGUCCAGCUCUAUUUUAAUUUGCAACAUCAUUUAUAUUGCUUGGUGGAUUUUCUUCCAAUAUUUCUUCGCCUUUUUGCAAGUCCACCAGCAGUGGAAAAACGUUCCCACUUGGUCAUCGCAUUUCCAGCAUUUAUUUGAAGUUUUUUUAUUAUAAUUUGAUCAAAAAAAAUUCCCUUCUUGAAGAUAGGGACCACAUUGACCCUCCUCCAAUUUGCUGGGACUUCUCCCGUUCUCCAAGAACUCUCAAAGAUGAUUGCCAGUGGUUCUGAAAUAACUUCCGGUAGUUCCUUCAAUAAUCUUGGAUGUAGCUGAUCUGGCCCUGGCGACUUGAAUUCGUUUAGAGCGGCCAGGUGUUCCUGGACAACUCGUUUCCCUAUUUGGGUUGGAUUUCCCCUACUCCUGUGUCCAUAUCAUGUUGCUGAAGACGGCUUUCUUUUUGUGAGAAGACCGAGGCAAAGAAGGCAUUCAAUAGUUCUGCCUUUUCUUUGUCCCCUGUCACCAUGACCCCAUCUUUUCCUCACAGAGGCCCUAUCGCUUCCUUGUUCUUCCUUUUUCUACCAACGUGAGCAAAAAAACCCCCCUUUUGUUGUUUUUAAUGUCCCUGGCAAGCCUGAGCUCAUUUUGCGCUUUAGUCUAGCGAACCUUUUCCCUACAGGAGUUGGCUAUACAUUUGAAUUCUUCUUUGGUGAUUCCUCCCCUUUUUCACUUCUUGUUCAUAUCUCUUUUGAGUCUUAGCCUGGUAAGAAGUUCUUUAGACAUCCAUUCUGGCUUCUUCGCAUUUGUCUUAUUUUUUUUUCUUUGUUGGCACUGUUUGCAUUUGCGUCUUGAGUAUUUCACUUUUUAAAAACUCCCAUACAUCCUUAACUCCCUUGUCUUUUAAUAUUGGCGUCCAUGGAAUUCCGCUCAGUAUUUCCUUCAUUUUUUGGAAGUCAGCUCUCUUAAAGUCCAGAAUGCGUGUUUGACUUGUCUUAGUUUCAGCAUUCCUUUGUAUGGUGAACUGCAGGAGCACAUGGUCAUUUGCUCCUAAGGAUCCGACCACUUCGACUGUAUUGAUCAGGUCUUCCACAUUUGUUAAGAUGAGAUCAAGAGUAGCCGAUCCCCUUGUUGGUCCCCUUCUGGACCAUAAAAUUAUCUGCAAGGCAAGUGAGGAAUUUGUACUCUUCACCGAGUUUGUUUUCCAGCAGAUAUCAGGAUAGUUGAAAUCGCCCAUGACUACUAUAUCUCUUCUUUGUGCCUGUUUUGUCAACUGUUGACAGAAGGCUUCAUCAAGUCUUUCAUCCUGGCUCAGAGGUCUGUAGUAUACACCCAGGACGAGCUCUUUUUGAGUCCUGGGUCCUUUGAUUCUUAUCCAGAUGCUUUACCUCUAGACUGGAUACUGUAAUGCGCUCUACGUGGGGCUUCCCUUGAAGACGGCCCGGAAAUUACAAUUGGUCCAACGCUCGGCUGCCAGAUUAAUAACGGGAGCGAGUUACAGGGAGAGAUCUACUCCCUUGUUUAAGGAGCUCCACUGGCUGCCGUUCAUUUUCCGGUCCCAAUUCAAGGUGCAGACCACCAUUUAUAAAGCCCUAAACGGUUUGGGACCCACCUACCUUCGUGACCGUAUCUCCUACCAUAAACCUGCCCGAGCCCUUCGAUCAUCAGGGGAGGCCCUCCUGUCGCCACUGCCUUUAUCUCAGGCCCGCCUUGUGGGAACUAGGGAGAGGGCCUUUUCUGCUGUGGCCCCCCGUUUGUGGAACUCACUGCCCAUUGAGAUCAGGCAAGCCCCCACUCUUUUAGCCUUUAGGAAAGAUUUAAAAACAUGGCUCUUCCGGUGUGCUUUCGGAGAGUAACUGUCAUAUACCUCCUUUGUUACUCCCCCCAACAUCUAUCCUCUAGGCUGUUUCACUAUCUCAUGUCCCUGUUCCCCAUGGUUUUAUUCUUAUCUCUUCUUACCCCGAGUUUUAAUUUUGUGUCCGUGCGGCCCGCCCUUGUUAUGUUAUGUUGCUUUUGAUUUUGUUCUGUACUGUGCAUUGUUAUUUUUGUAUUGUUUAAUUGUAUUAUGAUAUGUUGUUUUUUGUUAUAUUGUACUGUCUUGGGCAUGGCCCCAUGUAAGCCGCCCCGAGUCCCCGUUGGGGAGAUGGUGGCUGGGUAUAAAUAAAGUAUUAUUAUUAUUAUUA